CCAUCCUCCUUGCUGAAUUGGUAGUGAAACAAUGCCUGUGCCCAUGGAAAGAAAUAAUGCAGCAAGAAAAAAGGAUCGGGCCCAAACAAGCAGGCAACCGCAGUUUGAGGAAGUUAAAAGAGAGAAAAUUAAAAAAAGAAAGUUAA